CUCGGACGAAUACCAUAGGGGGUAGAGCACUGUUUCGGCUAGGGGGUCAUCCCGACUUACCAAACCGAUGCAAACUCCGAAUACCUAUGAGUACUAUCCGGGAGACAGACUGCGGGUGCUAACGUCCGUAGUCAAGAGGAAAACAAUCCAGACCGCCAGCUAAGGCCCCAAAAUCAUAGUUAAGUGGGAAACGAUGUGGGAAGGCAUAGACAGCUAGGAGGUUGGCUUAGAAGCAGCCACCCUUUAAAGAAAGCGUAAUAGCUCACUAGUCGAGUCGGCCUGCGCGGAAGAUGUAACGGGGCUAAAACUAUGUGCCGAAGCUGCGGAUGUAUACUUUGUAUACGUGGUAGGGGAGCGUUCUGUAAGCCGAUGAAGGUGUGUUGAGAAGCAUGCUGGAGGUAUCAGAAGUGCGAAUGCUGACGUGAGUAACGACAAAACGGGUGAAAAACCCGUUCGCCGAAAGACCAAGGGUUCCAGUCCAACGUUAAUCGGGGCUGGGUGAGUCGACCCCUAAGGCGAGGCCGAAAGGCGUAGUCGAUGGGAAAAUGGUUAAUAUUCCAUUACUUCUGUGUAAUGCGAUGAGAGGACGGAGAAGGCUAAAUCAGCCUGGCGUUGGUUGUCCAGGUGAAAGGAUGUAGGCAUGUAUCUUAGGCAAAUCCGGGGUACUCUAUGCUGAGAUCUGAUAGCAAGCUGUACUUGUACAGCGAAGUGGUUGAUGCCAUGCUUCCAGGAAAAGUCUCUAAGCUUCAGUUACACAGGAAUCGUACCCGAAACCGACACAGGUGGUCAGGUCGAGUAGACCAAGGCGCUUGAGAGAACUCUGCUGAAGGAACUAGGCAAAAUGGUACCGUAACUUCGGGAGAAGGUACGCUGUUGUUGGUGAUGGAACUCGCUUCCUGAGCUGACGACAGCCGCAGAAACCAGGCCGCUGCAACUGUUUAUUAAAAACAUAGCACUCUGCAAACACGAAAGUGGACGUAUAGGGUGUGAUGCCUGCCCGGUGCUGGAAGGUUAAUUGAUGGGGUUAGCGUAAGCGAAGCUCUUGAUCGAAGCCCCAGUAAACGGCGGCCGUAACUAUAACGGUCCUAAGGUAGCGAAAUUCCUUGUCGGGUAAGUUCCGACCUGCACGAAUGGCAUAAUGAUGGCGGCGCUGUCUCCAGCAGAGGCUCAGUGAAAUCGAAAUCGCUGUGAAGAUGCAGUGUACCCGCGGCUAGACGGAAAGACCCCGUGAACCUUUACUGCAGCUUGACACUGAACUUUGACCUUACUUGUGUAGGAUAGGUGGGAGGCUUUGAAGCUGGAACGCUAGUUCCAGUGGAGCCGUCCUUGAAAUACCACCCUGGUAAUGUUGAGGUUCUAACUCUGUCCCGUGAUCCGGGACGAGGACCGUGUCUGGUGGGUAGUUUGACUGGGGCGGUCUCCUCCUAAAGAGUAACGGAGGAGUACGAAGGUGCGCUCAGCGUGGUCGGAAAUCACGCGUAGAGUAUAAAGGCAAAAGCGCGCUUAACUGCGAGACCCACAAGUCGAGCAGGUACGAAAGUAGGUCUUAGUGAUCCGGUGGUUCUGUAUGGAAGGGCCAUCGCUCAACGGAUAAAAGGUACUCUGGGGAUAACAGGCUGAUACCGCCCAAGAGUUCAUAUCGACGGCGGUGUUUGGCACCUCGAUGUCGGCUCAUCUCAUCCUGGGGCUGAAGCAGGUCCCAAGGGUAUGGCUGUUCGCCAUUUAAAGAGGUACGCGAGCUGGGUUUAGAACGUCGUGAGACAGUUCGGUCCCUAUCUACCGUGGGCGCUGGAAAUUUGAGAGGAUCUGCUCCUAGUACGAGAGGACCAGAGUGGACGAACCUCUGGUGUACCGGUUGUGACGCCAGUCGCAUCGCCGGGUAGCUAUGUUCGGAAGGGAUAACCGCUGAAAGCAUCUAAGCGGGAAGCCUACCUCAAGAUAAGAUUUCCCUAGGACUUUAUGUCCUCUAAAGAGCCGUUCGAGACUAGGACGUUGAUAGGUUGGAUGUGGAAGCAUAGUGAUAUGUGAAGCUGACCAAUACUAAUUGCUCGUGAGGCUUGACUA
rnacentral:rRNA from 1 species